AUGGAGUCCACCAUGAAGCAGGCCAGGAAAGAAUACGAAGAGCAAGUGAGUGGCGGAGUCCAGCGGAUCCCGGAGGAAUGCCUGGAGAAGGCCAUCGGCCUGACCUCGCCGGCCGAUGCCUGCCGCGCCUCCGCGGUGUCGGCCGCGUUUCGAUCGGCGGCGGACUCGGACGCCGUGUGGGAGCGGUUCCUCCCGCCGGACUGCGACGCCAUGCUGGAGCGAGCCGUCCACGUCGUAGACUCCUCCUCCAAAAAAGAUCUCUUCAUGGAACUCAGCGACGAGCACAUCCUGCUCGAUGACGGCAAAAGGAGUUUUGGGCUCCAUCGAUCUACUGGAGCCAAGUGCUACAUGCUGUCAGCAAGCGAGCUGGCAAUCGCUUGGGGUAAAAUCGAUCUUUACUGGAGAGAGAGGUUGGACCCGGAUUCAAGGUUCCCCAUGGUCGCGGAGCUUAUUUCGGUCUGCUGGUUCAGCAUCUUCGGCGUGAUCAAUAGCAGGGAGCUCUCUCCCAGCACCCACUACGCGGCCUACCUCGUCUUCAAGCUUACUCACGAUGCCUCUGGCCUCAGCUCCCGCAGUCAGAUAUCAUACGUUGAGGUAGGCGGCCAAGUGGUGGGGAGCGCCCGCACGGCGUCUUUCCAUCCAUGCAACCGUGCUUCCUGCAGCGGCGCCGCCAUCGAGGAGGCAUCAUCUUCAACGAUGAGCAACAAUUGCGCCGUGAAUCAGCCGCAUGAGCACAAGGAGGAGGACGAAGGAGGCAUCGUGAGGUACCCGCGCGAGAGGGUCGACGGCUGA
rnacentral:rRNA from 1 species